rnacentral:rRNA from 1 species
UGCGUAGGCGGGUCUUUAAGUCAGGGGUGAAAUCCUGGAGCUCAACUCCAGAACUGCCUUUGAUACUGAAGAUCCUGAGUUCGGGAGAGGUGAGUGGAACUGCGAGUGUAGAGGUGAAAUUCGUAGAUAUUCGCAAGAACACCAGUGGCGAAGGCGGCUCACUGGCCCGAUACUGACGCUGAGGCAAAGACUGGGGAGCAAACA